rnacentral:rRNA from 1 species
AUUGAACGCUGGCGGCAGGCUUAACACAUGCAAGUCGAGCGAGCGGCGGACGGGUGAGUAAUGUCUGGGAAACUGCCUGAUGGAGGGGGAUAACUACUGGAAACGGUAGCUAAUACCGCAUACCAUCAGCUGAGCCCAGAUGGGAUUAGCUAGUAGGUUGGGUAAUGGCUCACCUAGGCGCCGAUCCCUAGCUGGUCGGCGAGGAUGACCAGCCACACUGGAACUGAGACACGGUCCACACUCCUACGGGAGGCAGCAGUGGGGAAUAUUGCACAAUGGGCGCAAGCCUGAUGCAGCCAUGCCGCGUGUAUGAAGAAGGCCUUCGGGUUGUAAAGCACUUUCAGCGAGGAGGCGUUACUCGAAGAAGAAGCACCGGCUAACUCCGUGCCAGCAGCCGCGGUAAUAC